rnacentral:lncRNA from 1 species
CUGUGUAGGAUUUCUGUUUUGUUGGUGGUGGUGGUGGUAUUUGACUGGAGAAAGAGGGACAGAAAAAAAAUAAGAAAUAUGUAGGAGGUAUUUUGCAGUUUUUAAAGAUUCAAUGAACUAAUAUUUUAAUUUUGAAAAGUGCUGCUGAGUAGAAUAGAUUUGUAUGCCAGACUUAGAAGUGGCAUGCAUUUCAUUGUCUCACAGAACUUCAUCCCGUGCUGUACUUAACUGCAGCGGAGACUGAAAGACCUGGAGAGAGAGAAAAUAGAUUUGGGGGGACUACUGAUGAGGUUUGCCACAGCAAAUAUUUCAAAUAAACAGAAAAAUAAUAUGGUCAGAGGCUUCUGAGUUUGAGCAUGGUUGAUGUGUUUUAGAAAGCCACAGGUUGUUUUAGCUAAAUACGCAGAAGCCAUGCAAAAGCCUUUCAGUUUUGGUCUUGAGACAGUGGAGGAAAGCUAUACAGUUAUUUUGAGUAACGAGCAGAUUUGAUCAUGUUUGUAUCAUUGCCUAUAAAAAUGAUA